rnacentral:rRNA from 1 species
CAGCAGCCACGGUAAUACGUAGGUGGCAAGCGUUGUCCGGAAUUAUUGGGCGUAAAGGGCUCGCAGGCGGUUUCUUAAGUCUGAUGUGAAAGCCCCCGGCUCAACCGGGGAGGGUCAUUGGAACCUGGGAAACUUGAGUGCAGAAGAGGAGAGUGGAAUUCCACGUGUAGCGGUGAAAUGCGUAAAGAUGUGGAGGAACACCAGUGGCGAAGGCGACUCUCUGGUCUGUAACUGACACUGAGGAGCGAAAGCGUGGGGAGCGAACAGGAUUAGAUACCCCGGUAGUCCCUGUCUCUUAUAC